rnacentral:SRP_RNA from 1 species
UGUGCUAGACGGGGAGCUUGCGGUGCCCUGUAAACUGCAAUCCGCAAUAGCAGUGUCGAACACCAUCAUAGGUCUUCAUCAUGGUUGGCUGCACGGCGCAAGGAGUGUCGAUAUCAAGGUCCUGUGCAAUGUCAUACUGUGAACCGUGUCAGAGCUUGACCGCAGCAGCACUAAGCAGGCGUUGGCGUGUGCCACAGGGAAACUUUGAAGGAGCCACCUACGUCGUUUCCGCUUCGGUGAUGUUUAUCGAAGAUGGCGCAC